rnacentral:lncRNA from 1 species
UAUCAUUCUGGGGUGAUGGAGUUGUAACACAGCACUUCUGGUCGCCAAAUUGUGGAUUUCUCUCUUCCUAGAAACCAAUCGUUUUUGGCAGCAGACACCAGAUGGGCAUCUUCCAAUUCAAUUCUGACACUUACCUGAAGAUAGCAUCAGAUGCUAUAGAUUAAGGAACUCAGGCUUACAGACUGCUUCUCAUUUCAGGCACCAAGUGCAAAGCCAGGCCUCUAGAACUUUUGGCUAGCCAGUUCCAUAGAGCAGGGUACUCAUGACCUCCUCCUUGGUCCAAUUAACCUGCUCAAGCAACUUAUAGAAUUCAGGGAAACACUUAUGUUUACCAGUUUACUGUAAAGGAUAUUGCAAAGGAUCAGGACGAACAGCCUGGAAGAGAUCAACAGCAAGAUACAGGAAGGGGUGUGGAGCUUCUGUGUCCUCUCUGGGCAUGACUGAAUGAAUAUUGUUCACU